AUUUUUCCAAACCUCCCACACACUGCGUUUAAAUGGGAUUAAAAUAAAACAAUUUCAGUAUUUCAUAGAAAAAUUUAAAAACCAAAAACCAUAAUUUUGAAAUGAUGGAAAAAUGAAAAUGAUUAAAAAGGUAAAUAGCCCAUUAAUAAAACCCCAUUCCAACUUCAGCAACAGCAGCCGCAAGAGCUGCUUCUUUCUCUUCUGCUUCUCACCGAAAUCCUCCCCUUUUCAACUCCGAUUCGGACGCAACGCAGCAAGGGCGUCAAUGGCACGCCACCACUGGUACGAGCGUGUGCACACAAGCUAUUGAACGUGGGCGAAGCCACUGCAACGUGGGGGAAAUGGAACGAUUGCUGCGGCGUUGAAGAAACUGCUACUAGGGUUCAGUUUUUUUUUUUCUGCUGAAACUGUUCCAUAGCUUGGGCUGUAAUUUGGACUAACAGAUGGGCUUGUAACUUGAGUCCGGGCCUUUUUUCUGCUGAAACUGUUCCAUAGCUUGGGCUGUAAUUUGGACUAACAGAUGGGCUUGUAACUUGAGUUUGGGCCUUAGGCUUAGUUGGGCCCGGGCAAUAAUUGGGUAUUACAAUACCUAUGGAUGAAAGUCAGGAGGAUAAUAAAAUAGUGCGACAAGAUCUGAACGAAAGCACAUUGGAUUUGAGCUUCGGUUAAACGGUUCGUGACUGUGAGUCUGAUUCGAAAACAAAUCGCAACGGACAGUUGGAAAGAGUAAAAUUGAGUAGUGGUCGAACAUGAUUGAGUAUAGCUUUGCAGGCUGUUUCAGCAAAUAGAUGCAGAUGGUAAGUAGACAUUAUUAUUAGUCUCCUCAUUUAUGGCAUAUUCCAUCAUCUAGGGUUUUAUAAACGGCGGGAUCGGCCACUCUCUUUCCCUCUUUUGUCAUCGGUUUAAUCCUUCCGAUAUUUGCGUGUAUUACAUUCGCAUGUGAAAAAUCAAGUGCUUAAUUACUAUUUUCUUCGUUUAACCGGUGAUAGAUUGAAUUUAAUGCUACAUGUACCAAGAUAAGGGGGUUGAUUCAAAUCAGUAUCCUUAAUCUUGAUUUUGCCAUAGCGGCUGUAGCUAUAAUAGAGAAGUUAACUGGCCGGUUAUCGUGCUUAAUUUGAAAAUUUCAAGCUUCCGUCGGUUAAUCUGCUUACCGAGCUUCGUACAUUUCAUUUCAUGUUAUUGGUUUUUUUUUUUUGGUAAAUUUUGAGAAGGGGGGAGAAGAAGGGAAUAGCAUAGGAUUUAGCUAUUUCAAGAGACCCUUCUCUAACAUCAAAAAUUAGGUCACCUUCCAGGCUUUCUGCUUUGCUUCUCUGCAGUUUGCGUCUAUCGGUGCCUACAUUCAUUCCAUUUCUAAGAACAAAAAAUUGUAUUUUACUUUCGAUUUUAGUAUUUGCAAGUCUUCAAUCCAUUUCCAGUCCCAGCUAUCUGUUCGUUUAA